CAAAGGUUUGGUCCUGGCCUUGUGGUCAGUUAUUACUUACUAUACACAUGCAAGUAUCCGCCCCCCUGUGAAAACGCCCUUCAACCCCCAUUAGGGACAAGGAGCCGGUAUCAGGCGCAAAAAUCCGCCCAAGACACCUAGCUACGCCACACCCACAAGGGAAUUCAGCAGUGAUUAACAUUGAGCAUUAGCGCAAGCUUGACUCAGUUAAAGUAAACAGAGCCGGCUAAUCUGGUGCCAGCCGCCGCGGUUACACCACGUGGCUCAAAUUGACCCCCUCCGGCGUAAAGCGUGAUUAAAGUUUCCACUUACUAGAGUUAAACUAAGACUAAGCUGUGACACGCCUGUUAUCAAGAAACCCAAAAACGAAAGUUACUCUAACACAACCAACUUGAACUCACGACAGCUGAG
rnacentral:rRNA from 1 species